AAUAUUUGUGGAUGAUUAAAGUUAUCCUUGUCUGAAAGGACAUCUUUUGUGAAGAGUUCUGAUGCCUUGAGGCUCAG
rnacentral:snoRNA from 1 species